rnacentral:rRNA from 1 species
UUGUGAGUUAACGACUAAGCGUACACGGUGGAUGCCGGCGGUCAGGGCGAUGAAGGAGCGUGCUAAAUACGCGAUAAGCGCCGGUAAGGUGAUAUGAACUACGGUAUAACCGGCGAUGCGAAUGGAAGCAGUGUGACUCGUCACUAUCAUUAACUGAAUCCAUAGUUAAUGAGGCGGGCAGGGAACUGAAACAUCCUAAGUACCCCGAGGAAGAAAUCAACCGAGAUUUCAUUCCCCCCGUGGCGGCGAGCGAACGAGGGAGGCUUAGAGCCUGGUCAGCAUAUUGUGUUAGUGGAAGCGUCUGGAAAGGCGCGCGACACGAGGCGGCAGCCCGUACACAAAAAAGCGCAUGUGCUGUGAGCUCGAUGAAGUAGGGCGGGACACGUGGUAUCCUGUCACGAAUAUGGGGGACCAUCGCUCAAGCUAAAUACUCCUGACUGACCGAUAUUGAACCGGUACCGUGAGGGGAAAGGCGAAAGAACCCCGGCGAGGGGAGUGAAAAAGAACCUGAAACCGUGUACGUACAAGCAGUGGGAGGCACAGGUUUGCCGCAAUGUGACUGCGUACCUUUUAACUUAUAAUGGGUCAGCGACAUAUUCUGCUUAGCAAGGAUUAGCAUAGAGGCCGGAGGAAACGGAAAGAUGUAGUGGGCAUUAAGUUGCAGGAAGGUAGGCCAGAAACCCCGGUGAUCUAGCCAUGGGCAGGUUGAAGGUUGGGUAACACUAACUGGAGAGUGAACCGACUAAUGUUGAAAAAAAUUAGCGGAUGACCUUAUGGCUGGGGGUGAAAGGCCAAUCAGGCGGGGAGAUAGCUGGUUCUCCCCGAAAGCUAUUUAGGUAGCGCCUCGUGAAUUCAUCUCGGGGGUAGAGCACUGUUUCGGCUAGGGGUAUCCCGGCCCCACCAACCCGAUGCAAACUGCGAAUACCGGAGAAUGUUAGCAUCACGGGAACACACGGCAGGUGCUAGCGUCCCGUCGUGAGAACAACCCAGACCGCCAGCGCUAAGGUCCCAAAGUCAUGGUUAAGUGGGGAAAACGAUGUGGGAAGGCCCGAACAGCGAGGAUGUUGGCUUAAGCAGCCAUCAUUUAAAAGCGUAAUAGCUCACUGGUCGAGUCGGCCUGCGCGGAAAAUGUAACAGAGGCUAAACCAUGCACCGAAGCUGCGGCAGCGACACUGUGUUGUUGGGUAAGGGGCGUUCAUAGCAAAGCACGAGGGUGUGUGUCGUGAGGCAUGCUGGAAGUAAUAAGUGCGAAUGCUGACAUAAGUAACGAUGACGAAAGCAUUGAAAAAGCCCGCUCGCGCCGGAAACCAAGGUUCAUCCCAGCAGGCAGGUGAGUCGACCUAAGGCGAGCCGAAAGGCGUAGUCAUGGGAAGCAGGUUAAUAUUCCCGUACUUAGUGUUGUUACUGCGAAGGGGGACGGAGAAAACUAUAUUGGCCGAGCGACGGUUGUCCCGGUUUAAGCGUGUAGGUGUGUGUUCGAGUAAAUCCGGUUCUUUUAACACUGAGGCGUGAUGACGAAGGCACUACGUGCUGAAGCAACAAUGCCCUGCUUCGAGGAAAAACACUCUAAGCAUCAGGUAACAUCAAAUCGUACCCCAGCCGACACGAGGUGGUAGAGAAUACCAGAGCGCUUGAAGAACUCGGGUGAAGGAACUUAGGCAAAAUGGUGCCGUAACUUCGGGAGAAGGCACGCUGACACGUAGGUGAAGUGAUUUACUCACGAGCUGAAGUCAGUCGAAUACCAACUGGCUGCAACUGUUUAUUAAAGCAGCACUGUGCAAACACAGUGGACGUAUGCGGUGUGACGCGUGCUGCCCGGUGCCGGAAGGUUGGUGAUGGGGUCAGCGCAAGCGGCUCUGAUCGGCCCGGUAAACGGCGGCGUAACUAUAAUACCCGGUCCUAAGGUAGCGAAAUUCCUUGUCGGGUAAGUUCAAAACCUGCACGAAUGGCGUAAUGAUGGCGAGGCUGUCUCCACGAGACUUUCAGUGAAAGUGAACUUUCGCUGUGAAGAUACGGUGUACCCGCGGCUUAAGACGGAAAAGACCCCGUGAACCUUUACUGCCAGCUUGACACACUGAACAUUGAGCCUUGAUGUGUACGUAGGAUAGGUGGAGGCUUUGAAGGCGCCAGUCUGCAUAAGGCCGACAGCGAAAUACCACCCUUUAAUGUUUGAUAUUUCUAACGUGGACCCGUUACCCAGGGACGCGGACGGUGUCUGGUGGGUAUUGUUAGUUUGACUGGGGCGGUCUCCUCCUAAGUAACGGAGGAGCACGAAGGUUGGCUAAUCUGGUCGGACAUCAGGAGGUUGAAUUGCAAUGGCAUAAGCCAGCUUGACUGCGAGCGGCGCGAGCAGGUGCUGGAACAGUGAUCCGGUGGUUCUGAAUGGGCCAUCGCUCCAGCGGACAGGCUCCGGGGAUAACAGGCUGAUACGCGGGUUUAUAUCGACGGCGGUGUUUGGCACCCUCGAUGUCGGCUCAUCACAUCACGGGAAAGUAGGUCCCCAAGGGGCGCGAAACAUUCGCCAUUUAAGAGUGGUACGCAGGCGCUGGGUUUUAGAACGUCGAGACAGUUCGGUCCCCUAUCUGCCGUGGGCGCUGGAGAACUGAGGGGGCUGCUCCUGGUACGAGGAGGACCGGAGUGGACGCAUCACUGGUGUUCCGGGUUUGUCAUGCCAAUGGCACUGCUGGCAAAUGCAGCGGAAGAGAUAAGUGCUGAAAGCAUCUAAGCACGAAACUUGCCCGAGAUGAGUUCUCCUGAACUUAAGUCUCCUGAAGGAACGUUGAAGACGACGGUGAUAGGCCGGGUGGUAGCGCAGCGAAAAGCGAUGCGUUGAAACUAACCGGUACCUGGCGAACCGUGAGCAGCCUUGCAACG